GACUUUGGAGAGCAUUUGAAUUUCAUGUCCAAGAAGAGGCAGCCUAUCAUUAAAAAACCCUAAUUUCUGUGUCAGGUAGAGUUACAGUAUUUUGCAAUAUUGGAAAUGUUCUGGAAUGUUGCUGCUUAUCAUGACACUGGGCAGAACGUUCACAGAAAAUUCCGCCCGGCCCUGACGAUGUCACUUCCGGUUCCGGCCCUUCUGAUGGCGUCACUUCUGGUUCCAAGCCUUCUGAUGACGUCACUUCCAGUGUAGAUCCUAUGAACCAAGAGCCUUCCGGUUCCGGCCCUUCUGAUGAUGUCUUGUCAUGGAAGCCUAUGGAAAAGGACCCUUACGCUUCCACCCUGGAUGACCUCACUUCCCUUGCUGGCCUUUAAAGUCGCCAUAUCAUAACUCAUCAGUUCUGUUUUGGACUCAUUGAUAGAUUUGAGUGCUACAGUUGGCCUAGCUCUGCUUUAAAGUCAAAUUAACACUAAUAAAAUACAUCACAAGAACCCUUUUUGUUAUUAGCUUAUAGUGAGUCAUGCUAACCUUCUAUUAAGUAUAAGAAAAUAUGAAACAAAUAAGGAGUUAAAUUUCAGCUAACAUCUACUGACAAAAUUUAUGUUUACAUUAAAUAUAAAGUAUUUUAUAUGAAUAAUAAGUAUAAGAACAACCAGAAUUGAGCAUUAAGUUUGUUUUUUUUAAGUUUUACUGAGAUGAAAGCUUUGUGAAGAUGGAUGGAGAUAUAACUUAGGAAAUUACUUUUCUAAAAUGAAAAAUUUCAAUGUGCUGUACUGAUAAAGGAAUAAUUCUUUAAUUAUUAUAUGUCAUAACUCACUUGUUUUUACAAGAAAGAACUUCAGAUCCUAUUUAGUGUGUUAAGGGGUAGAGCUGGAAUAAUCAUUUUCAUUUUUCAGGAAUGCCAGUUCUGUCUAGCACAUUUUUUCUUUUUAACAGAAUGAUAUCUUCUUCUUGACUGUUUCACUGAUAAAAUCCUCAGAA